CCCUACUUCUUGCUACCUACCAUAGCUAUGAAGAGCAAGCGGAGAGGGACACAGCACGUGAGUGGAAGUUUCUAGGAAGCAAGGUGGUGUCUAGAUUCCUAUGACGCGCACAGCCCUGAAAAGCACGUUUUCCUUUCGGCCCCUUCUACCCUUGGCAGUCAUUCACAGGUGUCAUCUAUGAGCUCAGUGACGGUUGUCCUCUAGCUUCAAUCAAAGUGCUGCUUUUGGUCUGAGGAGUUCUUGGGCUGGAGAGAUGACUCGGCCAUUAAGAGGGAGGAAGUUCGGUUCCCAGCAUCCACAUCAGGCAGCUAGCACCGUGACUCCAGCUUCAGUAAAAUAUGACACCUCUGGACAUCUGCACUCUUGUGCAUGGACACAC